GGGGGAAUCGCUGUCUCCUAGCAACAGCCUCAUCCUGUGAUGGGACCUCUGUCUGAAGGAAGGACGCUUCCACUGGCACCUGGAGAGCUUCCUGUGUCUCUCCCCAGGUUGGGGAGCCCUUGGGGCGCUCUGUGGGGCUCCCCUCCAGAGCCCCGCACUGCAGGCUGCCUUUCCUGCCCUGAGCAGAGGCCUCCCUACCGAGGGCGCAGUUUAUCAAGUCCUUUCCUGAGAGCGCCUCUUCAGUGGACGAGGAAGAGCGCCAGGGGCCUGGGCCACCCAAGGAAGGGCAGGCUUCCCCGGGUGGAAGAGGAGCGCAAAACGGAAACCUGUGUAGGCAGAAACUGGUGCGGCUGUAGAAGAUGCAGAGCCUGUGUUCGGCGCAGUCUGGGCCUGGCUGGCGGGCCUUAUGCGCCCUUGGGAAGAUGCAGUUCACUGUUGGCGAUGUUGUCGUUCAUCGCCCCAUGUCCUGGAGGGGAAUCUUUUUUCCAUGUCUGUUUUUUGCCACUCCCUUGGUUCCGCUCCUCCCAAACUUUGUCUGUAGUGCCAUGGAGGUUUUGAGACUUUCCCGUCCAUUGCAGCUUAAGACUUUUGAUACUUCUGGAUAGGAAAUUGAAGAAAUACGGUAAUUUUCUCCAUUGCUGCCAGUUAACUCUAAUGGUGUUUGUUCUCUCGUAGAAGCGGGAGGAGUAGGUGCUUAAAGAAAUUCCUUCUCUUUUGCAUUCUCUUUACCUACUCUAUAUCACCCUUCAGCAAAUGGCGUUGCAACUUCUGUAAAACAGAAAUUCUUGCCUGGCGUCUCUGUGGGACAGUCAGACACAAGCUCCAUCUUCACCCGACAGUGAAGUAAUCAUCUGCUUCCUUUGAAGCUUUCCCAUUCCCUGGGGUGGAGAGUGUUUCAAGUAAACUGUCUCACUCUCAACCACCCUCCUGGAAGGUCAUGGAGAGGUCAUGGGGCUCUACUCACAAAUAGGGGAGCUGGUAAAGAGAGGGAAGGAUGGCACGUGCAUCCGAUUAACUACAAAGUAUGCAGAUGGCCCAGCAAACAGAAGCGCCUCCUCGGAGAGGGUGUCUCAAGACUGUGGUUUGCUCUACAAUCCUCGCCCUUAGACUGGAAAGAAAAUCUCUGCUUUAUUUGCAAGACCACAAUUUAGUCUCAUUCCUGUCAUUAAUUUUUAAGGUCCACAGUUGUAAAAUUGGCCCUACUUAAUCAAUCAGUGCCUUCCUUCCGUUAUUCAACAAUUAUUUUUUUCAGCAUCCAUUCUGUGCCUGGCGUUUGACAGACAAAUAUGUGCCAGAAAUGUCCCUUAGCUCUCAGAAUCCGUCCUCAGUCUGGGAGGAGGAUGUAUGACAGGUAAAGAAAGGAUAAUAGGGAGGUCUUUGGUAGCACAAGAAAGACACCAGUGAAAUAAAGAAUUAACUUCUAGGGAAGGAUGGUCUUCC
rnacentral:lncRNA from 1 species